GAUGAACGCUGGCGGCGUGCCUAAUACAUGCCAGUCGAGCGAACAGACGAGGAGCUUGCUCCUCUGACGUUAGCGGCGGACGGGUGAGUAACACGUGGAUAACCUACCUCUAAGACUGGGAUAACUUCGGGAAACCGGAGCUAAUACCGGAUAAUAUAUUGAACCUCAUGGUUCAAUAGUUAAAGACGGUUUUGCUUUCACUUAUAGAUGAAUCCGCGCCGCAUUAGCUGGUUGGUAAGGUAACGGCUUACCAAGGCAACGAUGGGUAGCCGACCUGAGAGGGAGAUCGGACAGAUGGGAUCUGAGAAACGGUCCAGACUCCGACGGGAGGCAGCAGUAGGGAAUCUUACGCAAUGGGGGAAAGCCUGAUGGAGCAAAGCGGCGUGAGGGAUGAAGGUCUUCGGAUCGGAAAACGCUGUUAGUAGGGAAGAACAAAUGUGUAAGUAACUAUGCACGUAUUGACGGUACCGAAUCAGAAAGCCACGGCUAACUACGUG
rnacentral:rRNA from 1 species